AUAAAAGAGAAACGAAUGCAGUUCCAUUGUAAAAAGUGGAGUUGUACAAGAGGUAUAACUGCUAUUUUUUCAUCCUAUCUUAACAUGUCUUGAAGGCAGUGUCAUGUUUAGGACAUCUUAAAAGAGCAUAUAGUAUUUCUCUUAAGACACAUAGCUAGAGAUGGGAGGUUUUCCUAUUUUUUUGGUUAGCAAGAUGUAAGGAGCUUAGUUAGUAAGGAAUCUCCAUGUAAUAGAAUAAAUAGACAGUUAAAAGUAGAAGUCUUGUGAGACAAUGAAAGAAAAAGGUGGUUGAGUCCUACUGUGUGUUAUUUCUUGUACUAUACAUUGUCUAUACAAUGACAAACAUAAGGUACUUAAUUUUGGUUUCAAAUAAUCACAACUAGAAAGCCACAAAUUGACUUUUCAUUUUUCCCUUGCAAGUGCAAUAAAACCUAAGGUAAACCUUCCUGCCAAAUUGCAUUUAUGGGAACCUCGCUUUCCUGUUCACUAGUUUUACUCCAAUUAAUUAAAAGCAGCGCUCCUGCCCUGAGCUCUGGUUUCCAAGGUAUUCACAGAAGGGCUCAUGCCCCAUCCAAAGUCCUGAGUGAGACCAAAUCAGAAGUUCUUCAUGGACUCAUACCCUAGGGCUCCUGCACCUGAAGAUUUGAGGUAUGGUUUUUCUUUUUUUUGUAAAGUUUACUUCUUCAUAAGAUGGAAACCCUACAAUGCUGAAGAAAACAGACCUUACGGAUUUUAAUACAGAACUACGGGGAUGAAAACAAGCUUACUCUGUGCUGAUUCAUUUGCUUACUUGUUUCAAAUAGGAACAGUUAUGUUGAUGCCUCUAUAUGAGGACAAGGUGAGAUGAAUAUUUAGAUUUCUUUUUUUUUUUCCUUAAUAUUGUUAUUCUUUUCACAAAUAUUCCUGACUGAAAAAGUUCUUUAAGAAUUCUGCACUCUCCUUGCUUUCCAAUUAAGUUUUCUAGGCUUUCUUAUGUGGUCCUCUGAGUGCUGGAAAGUAACAGAAACAAGAAUGCAUUUAAUACCUGGCCUGGUGUCUUGGCAGCAAAGCUUAGCACUCCAGAGUGGGGAGUAGCAGGUUCAAGACCAACCCCAGGAGUCUUACUACUUGGACUGGCAGAGGGCUAGUGUAAUGCACAGACAGUGAGCUCAUUCUGCAGGUGGAGUGUUCAGCUGCAUUGAUCUUGUGGCAAACCCAGCCUGCUAAGGUUUUGGAGAAACAUUGGCUCUGAUCUGAAAGGAAAUUGUGCUGCCUUUCCCUGUCUUUCCACUAGUUUAGCUUGCAAGCUCUAAUAACAUUAAAACAUAGUUUAAACAAGAAGGCUGACAAAGCCAGAGAGACACAAAAUAAUUUCCUAGAAGUACUAAAUACAAUAAGUAAAACUCUAUAAUCUCCCAUUAGGUAAUUGUAUUUUCAUGGGGUCAGCCAGCCUCCCUGGCUAGGUUGAGGUCAAUUCUAAAAUAUGUGUAUUAUAUACAUUAAGCAUCUGUUAAUGAAGCAUGAAUUUCAUCAGCAAUCUGGGUGCCAAAAUCAACUCAUUUUGGUACAUGGUUUGCAUCUACAGUGGUGUCUUAUGGAUCUGCUUCUUAGAUUGAACAGCAAGGUUGUAUAGAUGCAAUGAAUGGCAGAUAAUAAGGAAAGAAAGCAACACCAGGAGCAUUUUCAAGAAGCAUAAAUUCUCUAAAUUUUCACUAGAGGAAAUUCAGAGUUCAGAGGACUUUAAGAUGACAGUAAGUAAAGAGUAAGAAAAGAUCAUGUUACCUGAUCCAAGAAUAUCUGGUCAGUGCUGAUAAUUUCCCUAUAAGAAAAUAUGAAACAGUAGUAGAUAAGUGUGAAGCACAUCAUCUAUUUUUGAGCGCUCUUUGUUGGCUAGAGGUAACCAAGUGGGGCUUCAGUUUAAAAAUUCACCAUUACUUUCCUCAGAUCCAUCACAGGGACCCUGGUAGAGCAGCAUGAAAACAAUACUCUGUUAUCAGUUAAGAAAUGAGCCCUUGUGCUUCUUACUUCUCCUGUCAGGCCAAGGUGUUAAAUGUAGGACUUUUUCCCAACAAUGACAGACCUAGAAAUGAAAACAAGUUCAAAAACCCCAAUGGCAAACCUUACAAAGUCAUAACGACCAUCUUCAUCUGCAAGAACCGCAGGCACAAAUGCUAUUUUGCUUUGAAAGUGAAGUGAGGUUAUGUUCCUUCUCAACAUGUAGGCUGGAAUACUGCUUUGUUUUAUUUAAGCACCACAGGCUCUAUGGACAGCAAUGAUUUUGGUCAUUUUUAAUAGCCCGUUAAAGUGGCAGAAGUGUUUGAGUGUAGUAGCCAAUGUAAAAAAGUAUAUUAAAUAAAAAAAAAAGUCUUCAGAGUUCGGAAACGGUCCCCUUUCAAUCCUUAUGUUUCCAUAGCUGAGCACAGGACUGCUGUGUGCUUUGGCAAUGAAAAAUAAUAUAACAUUUUUUGACAGAGCAAACUUCACCAGUAGCAUAUGUUGGAGCAAUACUAUAGGCUCCAAGUUGUAUUAAGCCAACUAUAAGUUUGACAGCAGAAAUAUAUCUGUCUCCUUGAACAAAUAGUCUGAGGCAUAUAUGUAGAUCCAUACAAGCUGUUCUCUUAGUUUCAACUCAUGUGAAGUAAAGGUGAGAUUUUAGUAAGCAAUAGCAUAAGCAAAUUACUAUGAAAAAGAAUUCAUCAUUCCAAGAAUUGUCUCAUAAGAUAUUGAAUCCCAAUGAGAAAUGGUGAUCAACAAGUGUACAGGGAAAAAGAGGAUCUCCUAACUAAUUCUUCAACCCUCUUCCAUUGCCACAUGAGGAGAGGAUGGGUAAGUAAAGGCAAGUUAGUCCUUCUUACUUCUUCGUAUCCAAACCUCUGGGGACAAGGAACUGAGUAAGGAAUAUGGAGAAAAGGAUGAUAUAUCUCUAUGUUUGUAGAUGAAUAAGAGAAAUUAGAUACAGACUCCUGUCUAAUCUAUAUCACCAUCUGACCCUAAAUAUUUGUAUAUGUAUGUUAAACCUCAGUUUUGCAUUACUUAGUAAAUAAAACAUACAGUUGAAAAAAAAAAAAAAGAUAAAUUAAGGUGCAGUAAAUACUACUUGUUAGCAAGAGGCAAAUUUUAUGUACCCUUUCCACACAAAAAAUAUAUAUUUUUUCUUCCUUGUAAAUAUGAGUAUGUCCUUCCGUUUUCUUAAACUGUAAAUGGGAAAGGUGAGUUGAAGGGACAGAUUUCAAUGAUCCUAUUAAUUGAAAUAAUAAGAUAUAUCCUGAGGUUGACUUUUGAAAUGUUUCGUAGGCAUGCAGUUACAGAUCUCCACACGGAUUUUGUUUCCCAUUUGUGAAAUACGUCUUAUUGCUCUUUCAGAAACAUGCUCUUCCAUCAUAUGGAGUUUGAUUAAGCUUAUUUCUUGGUGAAUUCCACCUUUCCCAUGGUCAGGGAUAACUAAAUAUCCAUUUCCUUUAGACCUUCUUCAACUGUGCCAUUUGCUGCCAUUAAUCAUGCCCUUUUGUUCACACAAAUCGGUGGCUCAAAUGAUUAGAAGGUACUACGAUGAACGGUGCCACACAGUGAGUAAAAUGUACAAAAAGAUACUAAAGAGUGCUUGCCAUACUUUUGAUGUCUUAUACGCUUAUAUGGUACAGCGUGGAGUGUCCAGUAGCUAGUUGCUCUGUUGUGCUUUUGUAUGUUAUGAGACAUUUUUAAUUCUGUAAGUUCUAAGUUUUUCUGUACUUCUGUGAGCGAGACUUUCUGCAGCACAACCAAGAGGGCUGACUGCAGAACAAAAUGAUAGCAGAUAACAGUGAACAAAGUUUUGGAAAAGCAUAAUUGGUGGAUGAAUAGGUUAUACAGUUUGUAUAAAAAACGGGACAUUUUUUUAGAUGGAAAGAUAUCUAUAAAUAAGUAUAUUAAAACAUGAUCCUUAAAACCACUCAUCAUUCAUAUAAACCAAUAGUUCUUUGUGAAAAGAAAUAAGAAAUGCGCUGUCUUAUCUGUGUGUCCAUAGCUUGCUGUAAAACCUAGUGAGACCCACCAAAGUCUUUCCAUUGAUUUCAGUGGGUUUUGAGACAGAGCUGUAAUUGCCCCUUGGAAUGACGUUACAAGGUACCUACCUUCAGAGGCUGAUUGUUUCCAUUCUGCUUCAGGUAAUAGUGUUACAGUCUAGAUCAAGAGGCUUUUUAUGCAUACCAGCUGAAAAGAAGCAGUUCCUGAUUGCUUCUGCAAAAGAAAGCAGUGACUAAGACAGCUUAGGUUUUUAAUACUGUUAGCUUGCUGGUUAAAAAGAACUAAAUCUUUUUCAAAAUCUCUAUACUGUUGAAAUCAGUGCAAACAUUAUGAAUUUACUGGUGAAAAAAUCAGUGACAUAUUUCCCUCUUUAUCCUUCUAGCCCUGAAGAAUGUAAUGCUGCUGAAUAUGCUGACUUUUGUAAGAGAUGUAAAACAGAUUCUGUGAUCAUUUGUGGUCAUUAAGAAUCACUUUUUUUUUUCUUUUUUUCUUUUUCUUUUUAUUUUUUUUUCAUGAAUAGAGGUGUUAGUGAAGGUGUUCUGGCCUAAUUCCAGCUCUGGUAAUUUGAUUUUUUUUUUCCUGCCUACACACGUUCUUUCAGCAGUCUCAUUUGGCUCUGUAUGUUGAGCUCAAUUCAGUGUUGCUCCAUGAUGCCUCUUGCAUCAGUUGGACUGGUGCAAAUGGGUACAAAGACAACCGUAUACCCUUUUUUCUUUUCCUGCUCAUAUAGCCCUUUGCUUCAAGAGCAACAAGUGGUAUAUCUAUACCACCCCUCCAUCAAUGGAUGGCAUUGAGGUAUUUGCAUAUGGGAGUAUUCAGAGGGCACCCAAAAUGGGAAUGGAAUAAAUAUGAGGGAUAGAGUAGAAGCUGAAAGCCGAAGCAUUCUUCUAACAAGGAUUUUCAGCCCUGCAGUGACACACAAGAACAUGGUCAAGUCAGCUUUUUGCAGGAGGUUUAACCCCACUAUGUGCUGCACAGUUGAAUUUGUAGUGAUGGAUGGUAUCAACACUAGUUAAGGAUAAUUCUUUCUAUGUGUGUAACCUGCUAAAACGCUCCCAAAAUUUGUCAGGAAGAGAAGACAUGAAUACUGAAGAAAGAAUUACAGUAUCGGAUGGAAGGAAGGAAGAAACACAUGAGGCUGGGACAAGGAUUUGGAUCAGAAUGAUACAUCCUUUGCUCUGGCAGAUACAAGGAUAUGCUGGAAAACAAGCUUGCUGUCUUUCUGUUGCUGUGUCAAACCGAGACAACACAGGACAAAAGAAGGGGAGGUGCUCCAGCCCUCUGAUCGUCUCUGUGGCACUCCUCUGGACCCACUCCAACAGCUCCACAUCUUUCCUGUACCACGGGCCCCAGGCUUUGACACAGUACUCCAGAUGGGGCCUAACAAAGGCAGAGGGGAACACUCACCAUCCUCUCCUUGCUGCCACCCCUCUUUUGAUGCAGCCCAGGAUACAGUUGGCCUUCCAGGCUGCAAGAGCACACUGCUGGAUCAUGUCCAGAUUUUUGUCCAUCAGUACCCCCACGUUUAUCUCCUCUGGGCUGCUUUCAAGGAGUUCUUCUCCAAGUCAGUACUCAUACCUGAGACUGCCUCGGUCCAAGUGCAACACCCUGCACUUGGCCUUGUUAAACCUCUUUAGAUUCUCAUGUGCCCAAUCUUUGAGCCAUUCCAGGUCCCUCUGGAUGGGAUCCUUCUGUUGUGUCAACUGCACCACUCAGCUUGGUGUCAUCAGCAAACUUGCCAAAGGUACAUUCAAUUCCACUGUCUGUAUCAUUGAUAAAGGUGUUGAAGAGCACUGGCCCUAUGACCACUGGGUGACAUCACUUGUGACCAACCUCCACCUGGACAUAGAGCUUCUGACAACAACUCUCUGGCUACAACCAUCCAACCAAUUGUUUAUCCACCUAAUAGUCCAACCAUCACAUUCAUCUGUCUCCAAUUUAGAGAUAAGGAUGUUGUGCGGGACCACGUCAAAGCACAAGUCGAAGUGGACAAUAUCAGUUGCCUUUCUUUUGUCCACCAAUGUUGUCACUCCAUCAUAGAAGGCCACCAGAUUUGUCAGGUAUGAUCUGUCUUAGAUCACCUCCUCAUCUCACAUAUGACUUAACAUCUCUUCCAGGAGGAUCUGGCACAGAUUUGAGCCUCAUCAGCUUGUAGUUUCCCGGGUCUUCCUUUCUUCUUUUCUUAUAUGGAACUGAUGUUUCUCUUUUUCCAGUCACUGGGGACUUCACCUGAAUGACCUAAUUUUUCAGAUAUGAUGGAGAGUGGGUUGGCAAGCAUAUAAGCAAGUUCCUUCAAAACACUGGGAUGGGGUAAAAUAAGUCCUUUCCCUCAUGGAAUGGUAAUCAGGAAUCACAAUGUGUUUAACUAGUCUUGACCUUCCCCAAGUCCUCCUUAGAGUUGUCUGUUGUUUUUAUUUUGUUUUGUUUCAAUAAGGCUCCCAAAUUAAAACAAGGAAAACUGUUAUUUCACCUCAGGGGAGAGACAGUGCUUCUGUCCAUGGGCUGUGACCGUCAGAAGAAAUGGAGAUCACAGUACUGAUGAUUCCCUCCUCCUACCACUGCUGCUUCUAAUGGAAAAUAUUCACCCAUGCCUUUUGCCUAGGGCAUGUGAAACAACUCAGUGGAAAAGAGACUGCCUGGAUAAGAACAGGACAUAACCCUUGGCUAGGCCUCUUGGAAGCUGAAGUUAAGCAUAAGAUAAUGGCACUGUGAAAACAGAAGAAAUGAUAAGUACUAUGAUAAUGUGAAGAUGUGGAUCUAAUAAAGAUUUUUUUAUUAUUAUUAUUUUACCAGUGGCAUUAGGGAUGCUCCAUAUUUAUGCCUGAGAGAUCAAAAAGGAAAGAAAAGUAAGCAUGAGACUAUAAAGCCGUACAGCAAGCUGGUUUGACUCAACAUAAUCCCAGCUCAGAGUGUUGCAGCGCCCUGCUACUUUUGGAGGAAUGAAAAUUAUUUCAGGACGUUGCAUACUUGGACACAAUACCUGUUACAGAAACAACUGUGGUCUAAGGUUAUGUGAAAGACUACUGCAGGCAUUAUGCCAGAUGGCAUUGGACAAGUGUCAUGAAGGAAUCCUGCUCCAAGGCUGUUCUUGGUGUUUUGGAUUAAGCUCUUACUGAAAAGGGGCUGAAAACAAGACUGCUGGGAGAGCAAAGAACGGACCUUUGAUUUUUUUUUUUUUUUUUUUUUUUUUUUUGCCUGCUUAAUUCUAACUCAUUUGUCUCUUCUGGAUCCUGAAUUCUGAGAAGAUAACUGCAGAUAAAAGCUCUUCAGGACAUGUGAAUUGUGCUUGCAGUGUCAGUGAACAUUAGCAGAACAUCUGCUGCAGACUGGACUUGAAGUCAAGGACCAUAUAGCUGGCUGUCAACAGGCUGCGAUUGUACACAGGGGAAAACAGCAAGGACUAGACUGAGUGGAUUCAGAAGAGUACUAUCUGACAUUAGAUGAAGGCAGAAUCAUGGGAAGGUCUGUUUCUAUCUCAUGCAGCCUAGUAGACAAGUGGAAGAGAUGGGCAUCAACUCUGCAUUCAGACUGCCUGAAAAUUCAAAUGAGUUUGGAUAAAACUUUGAAAUGGGUUGUUCCAUUCUUGCUACAGCUUCACCAGCUAAGGCCG
ensembl:lncRNA